GACGAACGCUGGCGGCGUGCUUAACACAUGCAAGUCGAACGGAAAGGCCCUGCUUUUGUGGGGUGCUCGAGUGGCGAACGGGUGAGUAACACGUGAGUAACCUGCCCUUGACUUUGGGAUAACUUCAGGAAACUGGGGCUAAUACCGGAUAGGAGCUCCUGCUGCAUGGUGGGGGUUGGAAAGUUUCGGCGGUUGGGGAUGGACUCGCGGCUUAUCAGCUUGUUGGUGGGGUAGUGGCUUACCAAGGCUUUGACGGGUAGCCGGCCUGAGAGGGCGACCGGCCACAUUGGGACUGAGAGACGGCCCAGACUCCUACGGGAGGCAGCAGUGGGGAAUAUUGCACAAUGGGCGGAAGCCUGAUGCAGCAACGCCGCGUGCGGGAUGACGGCCUUCGGGUUGUAAACCGCUUUCGCCUGUGACGAAGCGUGAGUGACGGUAAUGGGUAAAGAAGCACCGGCUAACUACGUG
rnacentral:rRNA from 1 species